CCUACGGGUGGCAGCAGUGAGGAAUAUUGGUCAAUGGGCGAGAGCCUGAACCAGCCAAGUCGCGUGAAGGAUGACGGAUCUAUGGGUUGUAAACUUCUUUUAUAAGGGAAUAAAGUGAGGAACGUGUUCCUUUUUGUAUGUACCAUAUGAAUAAGGAUCGGCUAACUCCGUGCCAGCAGCCGCGGUAAUACGGAGGAUGCGAGCGUUAUCCGGAUUUAUUGGGUUUACAGGGUGCGUAGGUGGUUCUUUAAGUAAGCGGUGAAAGUUUGUGGCUCAACCGUAAAAUUGUCAUUGAUACUGGUAGACUUGAGUAUAGUUGAGGUAGGCGGAAUGCGUGGUGUAGCGGUGAAAUGCAUAGAUAGCACGCAGAACUCCGAUUGCGAAGGCAGCUUACUAAACUACAACUGACACUGAAGCACGAAAGCGUGGGGAUCAAACAGGAUUAGAUACCCCAGUAGUC
rnacentral:rRNA from 1 species